GGCUACGGCCAUACCACGAUGAAUGCACCUCAUCCCGUCCGAUUUGAGAAGUUAAGCAUCGUCGAGCCACAUCAGUACUGAGGUUGGAGACAACUUGGGAACCUGUGGUGCUGUAGUCU
rnacentral:rRNA from 1 species